GGAUAACCUGCCCUUGGGACCGGCAUAACCCCGGGAAACUGGGGAUAAUUCCGGAUAACGCAUAUUUGCUGGAAUGCUUUAUGCGUCAAAAGGAUUCGUCUGCCCAAGGAUGGGUCUGCGGCCUAUCAGGUAGUAGUGGGUGUAAUGUACCUACUAGCCAGCGACGGGUACGGGUUGUGAGAGCAAGAGCCCGGAGAUGGAUUCUGAGACAUGAAUCCAGGCCCUACGGGGCGCAGCAGGCGCGAAAACUUUACAAUGCGGGAAACCGUGAUAAGGGGACACCGAGUGCCAGCAUCAUAUGCUGGCUGUCCGGAUGUGUAAUAUACAUCCGUUAGCAAGGGCCGGGCAAGACCGGUGCCAGCCGCCGCGGUAACACCGGCGGCCCGAGUGGUGAUCGUGAUUAUUGGGUCUAAAGGGUCCGUAGCCGGUUUGGUCAGUCCUCCGGGAAAUCUGAUAGCUCAACUAUUAGGCUUUCGGGGGAUACUGCCAGACUUGGAACCGGGAGAGGUAAGAGGUACUACAGGGGUAGGAGUGAAAUCUUGUAAUCCCUGUGGGACCACCUGUGGCGAAGGCGUCUUACCAGAACGGGUUCGACGGUGAGGGACGAAAGCUGGGGGCACGAACCGGAUUAGAUACCCGGGUAGUCCUAGCCGUAAACGAUGCUCGCUAGGUGUCAGGCAUGGUGCGACCGUGAUUGGUGCCGUAGGGAAGCCGUGAAGCGAGCCACCUGGGAAGUAUGGCCGCAAGGCUGAAACUUAA
rnacentral:rRNA from 1 species